CAUUUUUUGGUGUAAUAUCCCUUUAAGAUAUUUUAAUAGACAAUUCAAAAGUUCUGAUAUUGUUAGUAACACUGAUAUAUUUUGAAAAUGUUUCCUUUUUUAAGCUCGAUAUUGAGUUUGGAUAAAUAACAGAUGGAAAGACUGAGAAGUUGAAAGCUGAAGCUACCCUGGAAAGGAGUAAUUUUCUCUUUUAGACGGGAUGGAAGACCAAGCAGAUGCUAUAUUAAAAAGUGCUACACAAUGAAGGUUGUUCUUGCAUAUCUUCUGCCACCGUUGCCUGGAAGUCGAUGCAAUGUUAAAUCUGAAAUUUCAUUCCUUCAAUUUAAUUUUGUACCGCUUGGAGCCAGUAUUGCAUCCCACUGCAGCAGUUUUGAGACCGCAUCAAAGACCAGACCACAGCCAAUCUACAUUGGAAGUUUGAAGAGCACAACAUGACAGUACAUCAUUGCGAGGAUUGACAGAGUAACCAUUCCUGUGAAUGAGGGCCUGACGUGCUGUGGACAAUAUAUUCUAGGUGUGAAACUUGUCCUGUCCACCACAGAUUAGUUUGGUCUUCUCUUUCUAAUAUUGAAGCGCCACAUUCUCUUCUUUUAAAACUGACAUUCCUACUUCCCGUUUUGCCUCUUUUGAGGCCCAAAUAUAUUCUUCAUCAAACACAACUAUAGCAGAUGUAACGAAGUAUUACUUCACAAUUAGUACACAAUUACAAUUUUACAAUAUUUCCAAGUGAUUGUCAUUGCAAACAAUUUCAAAAUAGGUGCCUGAAUGUUUGUCUGGUCUAAAAUGUUUCUUUAAAUGCAUCUAAAAGUAUCUGUCUGACUUGAGUUUGUUAUGAGAAAUGUCAUCCACUAGUCUUGUUACUUGUAAGUGUAAUUGAUGUUGGCAACACUUUGAAUGAAUACUGUCGUUAAAGGGUUAGUUCACCCAAAAAUGAAAAUAAUGUAAUUUAUUACUCACACUCAUGCCGU